GAUGAACGCUGGCGGCGUGCCUAAUACAUGCAAGUCGAGCGAACAGACGAGGAGCUUGCUCCUUUGACGUUAGCGGCGGACGGGUGAGUAACACGUGGGUAACCUACCUAUAAGACUGGGAUAACUUCGGGAAACCGGAGCUAAUACCGGAUAAUAUUUCGAACCGCAUGGUUCGAUAGUGAAAGAUGGCUUUGCUAUCACUUAUAGAUGGACCUGCGCCGUAUUAGCUAGUUGGUAAGGUAACGGCUUACCAGGGCAACGAUACGUAGCCGACCUGAGAGGGUGAUCGGCCACACUGGAACUGAGACACGGUCCAGACUCCUACGGGAGGCAGCAGUAGGGAAUCUUCCGCAAUGGGCGAAAGCCUGACGGAGCAACGCCGCGUGAGUGAUGAAGGUCUUCGGAUCGUAAAACUCUGUUAUUAGGGAAGAACAAACGUGUAAGUAACUGUGCACGUCUUGACGGUACCUAAUCAGAAAGCCACGGCUAACUACGUG
rnacentral:rRNA from 1 species